rnacentral:rRNA from 1 species
AGACGUCUACAUUAGAUACCCCCUGUAGUCCCAGCCGUAAACUAUGCGCGUUAGGUGUAUCGGUGACCACGAGUUACCGAGGUGCCGAAGGGAAACCGUGAAACGUGCCGCCUGGGAAGUACGGUCGCAAGGCUGAAACUUAAGGAAUUGGCGGGGGAGCACAACAACGGGUGGAGCCUGCGGUUUAAUUGGACUCAACGCCGGACAACUCACCGGGACGACAGCAAUAUGUAGGCCAGGCUGAAGACCUUGCCUGAAUCGCUG